rnacentral:rRNA from 1 species
GACAGAGGGUGCAAACGUUGUUCGGAAUUACUGGGCGUAAAGCGCGUGUAGGCUGUUCUGCAAGUCGGGUGUGAAAGCCCCGGGCUCAACCUGGGAAGUGCACUCGAAACUGCAGAACUCGAGUCCUGGAGAGGAAGGCGGAGUUCUCGGUGUAGAGGUGAAAUUCGUAGAUAUCGAGAGGAACACCGGUGGCGAAGGCGGCCUUCUGGACAGUGACUGACGCUGAGACGCGAAAGCGUGGGGAGCAAACAGG